AUUGAACGCUGGCGGCAUGCUUUACACAUGCAAGUCGAACGGUAACAGGCCGCAAGGUGCUGACGAGUGGCGCACGGGUGAGUAAUGCAUCGGAACGUGCCCAGUCGUGGGGGAUAACUACUCGAAAGAGUAGCUAAUACCGCAUACGAUCUAUGGAUGAAAGCGGGGGACCGUAAGGCCUCGCGCGAUUGGAGCGGCCGAUGUCAGAUUAGGUAGUUGGUGGGGUAAAGGCUCACCAAGCCAACGAUCUGUAGCUGGUCUGAGAGGACGACCAGCCACACUGGGACUGAGACACGGCCCAGACUCCUAUGGGAGGCAGCAGUGGGGAAUUUUGGACAAUGGGCGCAAGCCUGAUCCAGCAAUGCCGCGUGCAGGAAGAAGGCCUUCGGGUUGUAAACUGCUUUUGUACGGAACGAAACGGCUCUGGUUAAUACCCGGGGCUAAUGACGGUACCGUAAGAAUAAGCACCGGCUAACUACGUG
rnacentral:rRNA from 1 species